rnacentral:snoRNA from 1 species
ACCCUCCUAUUCUUACCCAUUGGAUCUAAAACUCUGCUCUGAGUGAUUUAAAAAGGAGCAAAUGUAAAGUUGAAACUGCCUUUGAUGUUUUUGUGGGCUAUGGGCUAGUUGACAGCAAGC